rnacentral:rRNA from 1 species
AAAGNAAGAGGGGAAAGCCCGGGGUUCAACCUCGGAAUUGCAUUUGAAACUGGCAAACUAGAGUACUGUAGAGGGGGGUAGAAUUUCAGGUGUAGCGGUGAAAUGCGUAGAGAUCUGAAGGAAUACCGGUGGCGAAGGCGGCCCCCUGGACAGAUACUGACACUCAGAUGCGAAAGCGUGGGGAGCAAACAGGAUUAGAUACCCUGGUAGUCCACGCCGUAAACGAUGUCUACUUGGAGGUUGUGGCCUUGAGCCGUGGCUUUCGGAGCUAACGCGUUAAGUAGACCGCCUGGGGAGUACGGUCGCAAGAUUAAAACUCAAAUGAAUUGACGGGGGCCCGCACAAGCGGUGGAGCAUGUGGUUUAAUUCGAUGCAACGCGAAGAACCUUACCUACUCUUGACAUCUACAGAAGCCAGCGGAGACGCAGGUGUGCCUUCGGGAACUGUAAGACAGGUGCUGCAUGGCUGUCGUCAGCUCGUGUUGUGAAAUGUUGGGUUAAGUCCCGCAACGAGCGCAACCCUUAUCCUUGUUUGCCAGCACUUCGGGUGGGAACUCCAGGGAGACUGCCGGUGAUAAACCGGAGGAAGGUGGGGACGACGUCAAGUCAUCAUGGCCCUUACGAGUAGGGCUACACACGUGCUACAAUGGCGCAUACAGAGGGCGGCCAACUUGCGAAAGUGAGCGAAUCCCAAAAAGUGCGUCGUAGUCCGGAUUGGAGUCUGCAACUCGACUCCAUGAAGUCGGAAUCGCUAGUAAUCGUGGAUCAGAAUGCCACGGUGAAUACGUUCCCGGGCCUUGUACACACCGCCCGUCACACCAUGGGAGUGGGCUGCAAAAGAAGUGGGUAGUUUAACCUUCGGGAGGACGCUCACCACUUUGUGGUUCAUGACUGGGGUGAAGUCGUAACAAGGUAACCG